UCUUAUGGAUGAGCAAAGAGAGUGGUUUCUUAAGAUGGAACCUACUUUUGGUGAACAUGCUGUGAA
rnacentral:pre_miRNA from 12 species